UACGUAGGUGGCAAGCGUUGUCCGGAUUUACUGGGCGUAAAGAGCGCGCAGGCGGUCGUUCAAGUCGCGUGUGAAAGCCCCCGGCUCAACUGGGGAGGGUCACGCGAUACUGAUCGACUCGAAGGCAGGAGAAGGAAGUGGAAUUCCCGGUGUAGUGGUGAAAUGCGUAGAUAUCGGGAGGAACACCAGUGGCGAAGGCGACUUCCUGGCCUGUUCUUGACGCUGAGGCGCGAAAGCUAGGGGAGCAAACGGG
rnacentral:rRNA from 1 species